AGAGCUUCUGCCUGUAUGUUGUUUAAAAGCUUUCAAACACUUGUGAGGAUUCACUUCCAGCCUGUACUUGUAAAAUAAAUUUAUUCUGCUCAUAACUGCUGCAACAUGUUAAUGUAGGCCUAUGUGAAAGUUAGGCCUACAAUUCACAUAUUUAUUAUUUACAAUACUGAGGAAAAGUACUGCAUUAAUUUGUUACUUUAUUUGCAUUACUGUUUUUAACUGUCCUGAUAGUUAGCCAAUUUACUAACAUUGUUUCAUGAUGCAUUUGCCGUUUCAAUGGUGCAGAGGCUGAAGGAGUUCUGUAGGGAGCGCUGUGGAGUGAAGGCUGAGGGAGGAUCAGGGCUGGACCGCUGGAGACUCACCCCUGCCUUCUAUGACAAAACCCAGCCUUCUCAUGAAAUGAGUCACCAGAACUACACAUGCAGUGAGUACAGGGCACAGAGUCUGCAUGUGUCUUCAGCAAGAAAUAUCAUAGCACAAACCGAAAGAUCACAGGAGUCACUCUACAACUACAGAAUCUGAUCGUCAAGACUUCAUAGAAAAUCUUACAGCUAUUGUAAGUGAAGUACGUAAUUCAGAGCAGAGGAUCGACUGUUGUAGACGACUGCAAAGAGA
ensembl:lncRNA